AUCAGCAAAAACACUACCUUGAAUUUUUUUUACAUCUAUAUAGAAUUUUUACCAGCCAGUAUUUAGCUAUAUAAACUUCUUGCUUAGAGCUCCUGCUUAGGCCCUGUUUGGGACGAAGGUGUGUAUAAGUGGGCUGUGUAUAAGCGGAAUGCGGCUCUCUGCCCGCGAUUUGCAUUUUGGCCGCUCCCCGUUCAUCAGCCCGCUUUUCACGUAGCUAGCGCGCGGCCAUCCACCGCGCGUCAAACGCGGACCGUUCGGUGGGAUUUUUUCGCGUUUUCCACUGAAAUGUGCUGCUGAUGCGGAACCAAACAGGGCCUAGCAUAUCUUUUGCUAAUUUUCUGCCUAUAUGGCCAGUUUAAAACUGAUGGCCUGUGGGUGAGGUUGGGGAUAAGAUAUUGUAAUAAGGUCCAUGUGGUUUCAAUAAAUAAAAUGGUUUAUGACAUUUGUGCAGUAGUUAUUGAUGUGUCUAGUUGGCAAGCUGCAAGGCCAUGGAUCUGUUAAUGUAAUGUUUGCUACAGUGAAGGCAAUGCGAUUAUGAAUCCAAUAUUUCUGGGCCAAAUUUUGGUGCGCCGCGGUCCUUGCAGGGACCAUAGUAGGGGCUUGGUAGUUGUAUAGUUGAAUCAGUAUUCUGUUCUAGUGGCUCCGUGUUCAAUAUAAUCAUUCAUCAAUCAUCUUGGUCCCAACUCUUUUGAACAUAAGGGCAUAUUUAUAAAAAUAAUUAUGUUGACGACGACCACAGAAAAGGCUAUCUAGGAUGCUUCAUGAGUCCUUCCUCAGCUGAUGAUGAGAGAGCUACAAUGGUCAAGAGACAUGAGGGAAACAUGUAGGGUCCUGAGUUUCAAGAAGUAGCCUCCUUUGUUAGUUGUGUAAGGAGAACUGGAGAUGUCAAUAGGCUACAUGCUUUUGGCAACAUUAAUUCAGUUAGGACGGUGCUGGAUGGUUCAACUAACUUGCUCGACAAUCUCUUAUCUCCAUUGUAUGUUGUGUCCCUGUUAGUCAACAACAUCUCACAUGCCCUCAAUUUCCUUUGUUUCUUCCUGCCAUUCCUUGUAGGUCUCUUCAAGAAGACUGCAGUUAUCUGAAUAACAUUUUGGCCAUUUCUUUUCUAAAUCGAGUUUUUUCAGUAAAUCUCAAGUGGAAUAGUAUUAUCAAGGGAUCAAGAUGGUUACCUUCUCUGGAUCAUAUGUUAGAAUGGUCAGUACAUGAACACAGGAAACCUACCAACUUACAUGUUGGAAUUGUAUGCACAGGUACAUAUGUGGUAGAACAGGGGAGGGUUUGCAUCUUGGUCCCAGGGUCUCAGCUAUCAUAAAUGGCAAGCUGGCAAGGGACAAACCCAUGAGCUUCCCUGGUGAGAUGUUCCUAUCUAUGGUUUGGAAAUUCAAUGCACUGGACCAUAGUUUUGCACAUGGUGGAGCCAUCUUUCCUGGCUUGGUAUGCGAUCGCUUCAGCCUACUGGAGUGGGCCUAAUUUUGACUCGAUGGUACAAAUUGUUGGGUCCAGUUUUCGUGGAAAGGUCUAGUUUUUCCAUUUUGCCUUUUUUUUUUCUGAGAUAUAAACAUGAUUGCUGACUUACUCACCCCUGUUAUACAGGGUCAGUUCACCCAAUCCUGUGUUGUUUGAUGAGGAUUAAAUAUUAAAGAUGUACAUUCCUCUGCCCCUUGUGAUUUUAUUUGCAGAUUAUUUUGCAUUUGCAGAAUUCCAUCUUGUCCCUUUUCCAGUGUGUUCAGUGCAACGGAAACAAGAUAAAAAUGGUUGCGAAUUAGCCAACACAUUUUCUUGAAAAUUGUUCAUAUCUAAUGUACAAA